rnacentral:misc_RNA from 1 species
CCAAAAUAAAUUGUACAAAAACACAAAAUGAAAUCAAUCUGGUUCCUGCUUUUGUUCACUGUCGUGUCGGCGACGAAACCCGUAGUUAGGAAGGAUGUGGUGCCCGUCCUUACGUUGGACCCUAGGAAGAGGAUUAUGGCCACUAACAGUACUAAGACCAAUUUGAAGUACCUGCCCUUCAUAGCUCUAAUAGACAAAGAGCACGACACGAGCGAAUACUGGCGUGCCACUGAGCUGCUCUCCCUCAUACGGAGUCGGGAAGAGCUCGUGGACUAUUCGCGGUGCAAAGUCCCCACCCCUAUUGACCCUGUGAGGUUUAACACCGCAAGGAACGUGCAUGCUCUGUGCAGGGAUAGUAUUGAUUUCCAGCUGUGUCCGCAAUGCGCCCAUUUCAGCAACACUUCGGAAUGCGAACUGUUCCGGGAUUCCUGCAAGGAGAAAAGAGUGUCAAAAUCGGAAUACGCCACAUACUGCGAUCGCAAGUACGGCAAAUGGCGGACCAUCUUCAUACCAGCCGACUACUCACAGUGCAGAUGUUGUGACGAGUGCGUCUUCUAUCGAGAAUUAGACGAGUCCUGUGUACAUGACGAAUUCGACUUCGAUUCGGAGGAGUUUCUACCAGUAAGCUCAAUUGAUUUCAGAGCUGGCUGCAAUCCAUACUUGGGGCAUCCCGAGCAGGAGUCUCGGGCCCUUCGAUGUGACAAGACUCUUCGCAGAUGUGUACCGAUGACUGUUCCAACUCUACCAAAAAGUGCAUUUGGUGUAAGUCACCGAAGCUUCCGCUACGAGCCUGUGGACGCCGACUGCCCCUCGUGCCGCGGUUACAUCUGCCCCCCUACCAUGAAACACGAGCCAGACUGUCACCCGGGCGCCUUCGUGCCCGACAGGGGGCAGUGCAACUGUUGCGGCCACUGCAGCUCCUACUUCCAAUUAAACCAAAAAUGUGCUGAAUUCAAGGAGUCCGUUGAAAAUGGUAGCAGCGAAAUUGAGGUAGAAGAAGAACUCUUAGAGCCUGGCUGUGACGACGGCCUGGUCUGCCGACAGGGGUUCUGCCAGGACAUCCACGCGGUGCAUGUUUCUGCUCAUAGUCGGAAGAGGAGUAGUCAGGAGCCAGAUGAGCCUUACGUGCCGUCGCUUCCUGUGUUACUGCGCCAUGGAGGACGGAACGCCCAUCGAAGGCGUCAAGGUACCCAGGGUCGAGGUCUCCAACAUGAACUGUGAUUGCGCUCGAGAAAAAUGUAGUUUAGAGACAGACGUGCAGUGCGACGGCUUCGGAAACUACAAGGAAGCCAUGUUUACUCCACACGUUGAUGAGUGGAGCGAAGCCGAAUAUGAAGACAAUGACGACAACUUAC